rnacentral:rRNA from 1 species
GAUGAACGCUGGCGGCGUGCCUAAUACAUGCAAGUCGAGCGAACAGACGAGGAGCUUGCUCCUCUGACGUUAGCGGCGGACGGGUGAGUAACACGUGGAUAACCUACCUAUAAGACUGGGAUAACUUCGGGAAACCGGAGCUAAUACCGGAUAAUAUAUUGAACCGCAUGGUUCAAUAGUGAAAGACGGUUUUGCUGUCACUUAUAGAUGGAUCGGCACCGCAUUAGCUAGUUGGUAAGGUAACGGCUUACCAAGGCAACGAUGCGUAGCCGACCUGAGAGGGUGAUCGGCCACACUGGAACUGAGACACGGUCCAGACUCCUACGGGAGGCAGCAGUAGGGAAUCUUCCGCAAUGGGCGAAAGCUUGACGGAGCAACGCCGCGUGAGUGAUGAAGGUCUUCGGAUCGUAAAACUCUGUUAUUAGGGAAGAACAAAUGUGUAAGUAACUAUGCACGUCUUGACGGUACCUAAUCAGAAAGCCACGGCUAACUACGUG